CUUGCCCUUAGAGACAUUGCAGGUAUGACUGCUGUGUCACAUGUGUGUCAAUAGGUGGCAGAGAAGAAAGAAGCUAUGUCUAUCUGUGCUCAGUGUUCUGACCUGUGACCAUCAGAAUGAUUAGUCUAACAUU